UACAGAAAAUGCCUUGGUGCCUGAUGUCCCU
rnacentral:piRNA from 1 species